AUGGUUCAAAUUACCUAGAA
rnacentral:snRNA from 1 species